rnacentral:sRNA from 1 species
AACAGACUGAAAAAAUGUGGCAGCGCCUGAAAGGAAUAGCCAUAUGUGAGUGGAAAGAUCUUGAAUUGUUCCUGCUCUUCUUGACAGAAGAAAAUAAAAACUAAGAUGCUUAGUGAAGCAGCUGGAAAGAGGUGACGUUAACGUCGUUGACUUAAAGAAGAAUAUUGAAUAUGCGGCAUCUGUGCUGGAAGCAGUUUAUAUCGAUGAAACAAGAAGACUUCUGGAUACUGAAGAUGAGCUCAGUGACAUUCAGACUGACUCAGUCCCAUCUGAAGUCCGGGACUGGUUGGCUUCUACCUUUACACGGAAAAUGGGGAUGACAAAAAAGAAACCUGAGGAAAAACCAAAAUUUCGGAGCAUUGUGCAUGCUGUUCAAGCUGGAAUUUUUGUGGAAAGGAUGUACCGAAAAACAUAUCAUAUGGUUGGUUUGGCAUAUCCAGCAGCUGUCAUCGUAACAUUAAAGGAUGUUGAUAAAUGGUCUUUCGAUGUAUUUGCCCUAAAUGAAGCAAGUGGAGAGCAUAGUCUGAAGUUU